GCUUGGGAAACUGAUAGUCUAGAGUGAGGGAGAGGCAGAUGGAAUUGGUGGUGUAGGGGUAAAAUCCGUAGAUAUCACCAAGAAUACCCAUUGCGAAGGCGAUCUGCUGGAACUCAACUGACGCUAAGGCGCGAAAGCGUGGGGAGCAAACAGGAUUAGAUACCCUGGUAGUCCACGCCCUAAACGAUGUACACUAGUUGUUGGGGUGCUAGUCAUCUCAGUAAUGCAGCUAACGCAUUAAGUGUACCGCCUGGGGAGUACGGUCGCAAGAUUAAAACUCAAAGGAAUAGACGGGGACCCGCACAAGCGGUGGAGCAUGUGGUUUAAUUCGAAGAUACGCGAAGAACCUUACCUGGGCUUGAUAUCCUAAGAACCUUUUAGAGAUAAGAGGGUGCUAGCUUGCUAGAACUUAGAGACAGGUGCUGCACGGCUGUCGUCAGCUCGUGUCGUGAGAUGUUGGGUUAAGUCCCGCAACGAGCGCAACCCACGUAUUUAGUUGCUAACGGUUCGGCCGAGCACUCUAAAUAGACUGCCUUCGUAAGGAGGAGGAAGGUGUGGACGACGUCAAGUCAUCAUGGCCCUUAUGCCCAGGGCGACACACGUGCUACAAUGGCAUAUACAAUGAGACGCAAUACCGCGAGGUGGAGCAAAUCUAUAAAAUAUGUCCCAGUUCGGAUUGUUCUCUGCAACUCGAGAGCAUGAAGCCGGAAUCGCUAGUAAUCGUAGAUCAGCCAUGCUACGGUGAAUACGUUCCCGGGUCUUGUACUCACCGCCCGUCACACCAUGGGAGUUGAUUUCACUCGAAGCCGGAAUACUA
rnacentral:rRNA from 1 species